rnacentral:rRNA from 1 species
UGGCGGACGGGUGAGUAACGCGUGAGAAUCUGCCUUCAGGACGGGGAUAACAGGAGGAAACUGCUGCUAAAACCGGAUAUGCCGAAAGGUGAAAGUAUUAAUAGCCUGAAGAGGAGCUCGCGUCUGAUUAGCUAGUUGGUAGGGUAAAGGCUUACCAAGGCGACAAUCAGUAGCUGGUCUGAGAGGACGAUCAGCCACACUGGGACUGAGACACGGCCCAGACUCCUACGGGAGGCAGCAGUGGGGAAUUUUCCGCAAUGGGCGAAAGCCUGACGGAGCAAGACCGCGUGGGGGAGGAAGGUUCUUGGAUUGUAAACCCCUUUUCUCAGGGAAGAAAAAAAUGACGGUACCUGAGGAAUAAGCAUCGGCUAACUCCGUGCCAGCAGCCGCGGUAAUACGGAGGAUGCAAGCGUUAUCCGGAAUAAUUGGGCGUAAAGCGUCCGUAGGUGGUCAUUCAAGUCUGCCGUUAAAGAGUGGGGCUUAACCCCACAAAGGCGGUGGAAACUGAAAGACUAGAGUGCAGUAGGGGUAGAGGGAAUUCCCGGUGUAGCGGUGAAAUGCGUAGAGAUCGGGAAGAACACCGGUGGCGAAAGCGCUCUGCUGGACUGCAACUGACACUGAGGGACGAAAGCUAGGGGAGCGAAUGGGAUUAGAUACCCCAGUAGUCCUAGCCGUAAACGAUGGAUACUAGGUGUGGCCUGUAUCGACCCGGGCCGCGCCGGAGCUAACGCGUUAAGUAUCCCGCCUGGGGAGUACGCACGCAAGUGUGAAACUCAAAGGAAUUGACGGGGGCCCGCACAAGCGGUGGAGUAUGUGGUUUAAUUCGAUGCAACGCGAAGAACCUUACCAGGACUUGACAUGUCGCGAAUCUUUCUGAAAGGAGAGAGUGCCUUAGGGAGCGCGAACACAGGUGGUGCAUGGCUGUCGUCAGCUCGUGUCGUGAGAUGUUGGGUUAAGUCCCGCAACGAGCGCAACCCUCGUUUUUAGUUGCCAUCAUUAAGUUGGGCACUCUAGAGAGACUGCCGGUGACAAACCGGAGGAAGGUGGGGAUGACGUCAAGUCAGCAUGCCCCUUACGUCCUGGGCUACACACGUACUACAAUGCUACGGACAAAGGGCAGCAAGUUAGCAAUGACAAGCAAAUCCCAUAAACCGUGGCUCAGUUCAGAUCGCAGGCUGCAACUCGCCUGCGUGAAGGCGGAAUCGCUAGUAAUCGCCGGUCAGCAUACGGCGGUGAAUCCGUUCCCGGGCCUUGUACACACCGCCCGUCACACCAUGGGAGUUGGCCACGCCCGAAGUCGUUACCCUAACCGCUUGCGGAGGGGGAUGCCGAAGGCAGGGCUGAUGACUGGGGUGAAGUCGUAACAAGGUAGCCGUACCGGAAGGUGUGGCUGGAUCACCUCCUUUUAAGGGAGACCAAACCCCACUCAACCGAAAAAAUCAAAAAGAUUUGGGGAAGUGGAGGUCAACCUAGGUCAUCGAGGAAAAGUGAAUACAUCAGCUUUCAAACUAUUAACAGGUUCAAAAAACGCGGGCUAUUAGCUCAGGUGGUUAGAGCGCACCCCUGAUAAGGGUGAGGUCCCUGGUUCGAGUCCAGGAUGGCCCACCUAAAAAAAAACCAAACUAAGCACUCAAAGAACAAAAAAAGGCAACUUUUGCCAGCAACGAAUCUUAUCCUAGUGUAAAACAGCCUGCUGGGAAAAAAGCCAGCAAAAGAACCUUGAAAACUGCAUAGCAACGUAAAAAGCAGGAAAAACGAGACAUCAAAUCAAAAAAGGUGUCCGUAAAACUUCAAGCUGAAAAGAUUGUGGUCAAGCUACAAACAGCUGACGGUGAAUACC